GUUGCUUUGACAGAUUAAUUGUAUCAAAUUUAGAAUUUGAAGAUGGUUUACCAGGCAGUA
rnacentral:tRNA from 1 species